rnacentral:rRNA from 1 species
CGAAGGGGCUAGCGUUGCUCGGAUUUACUGGGCGUAAAGGGCGCGUAGGCGGAUAACCAAGUUGGGGUGAAAUCCCGGGGCUCAACCUCGGAACUGCCUCCAAAACUGGUGAUCUUGAGUAUGAGAGAGGUGUGUGGAACUCCGAGUGUAGAGGUGAAAUUCGUAGAUAUUCGGAAGAACACCAGUGGCGAAGGCGACACACUGGCUCAUUACUGACGCUGAGGCGCGAAAGCGUGGGGAGCAAACAGGAUU